rnacentral:piRNA from 1 species
UGCCAUUGGUAGGUGUGCAGAAACCAAGA